rnacentral:rRNA from 1 species
AGAUUGAACGCUGGCGGCGUGCCUAACACAUGCAAGUCGAGCGGUAACAGGUGUAGCAAUACAUGCUGACGAGCGGCGAACGGGUGAGUAAUGCUUUGGAAUCUUCCCAGUAGUGGGGAAUAACCAGUCGAAAGAUUGGCUAAUACCGCAUACGUCUGUAAAGGGAAAGCGGGGGCUCGUAAGACCUCGCGCUAUUGGAUGAGCCAAAGUCGGAUUAGCUAGUUGGUGGGGUAAUGGCCUACCAAGGCGACAAUCCGUAGCUGGUCUGAGAGGACGACCAGCCACACCGGAACUGAGACACGGUCCGGACUCCUACGGGAGGCAGCAGUGGGGAAUAUUGGACAAUGGGGGAAACCCUGAUCCAGCGACGCCGCGUGUGUGAAGAGGCCUGCGGGUUGUAAGCACUUUUAGUGGGGACAAAAGCUACGGAUUAAUACUCUGUGGUCUUGAUUUAACCCAAAGAAAAGCACCGGCUAACUCUGCGCCAGCAGCCGCGGUAA